rnacentral:tRNA from 1 species
GCUUAGGUGGCAGAGCCGGCAAUUGCAA